rnacentral:rRNA from 1 species
ACCAACAGGGAUUGCCCUAGUAACGGCGAGUGAAGCGGCAACAGCUCAAAUUUGAAAUCUGGCCUCGGCCCGAGUUGUAAUUUGCAGAGGAUGCUUCUGGCGCGGUGCCUUCCGAGUUCCCUGGAACGGGACGCCACAGAGGGUGAGAGCCCCGUAUGGUCGGACACCAAGCCUGUGUGAAGCUCCUUCGACGAGUCGAGUAGUUUGGGAAUGCUGCUCUAAAUGGGAGGUAAAUCUCUUCUAAAGCUAAAUACCGGCCAGAGACCGAUAGCGCACAAGUAGAGUGAUCGAAAGAUGAAAAGCACCUUGAAAAGGGGGUUAAAUAGUACGUGAAAUUGUUGAAAGGGAAGCACUUAUGACCAGACUUGGGCCGGGCGGCUCAUCAGGGGUUCUCCCCUGUGCACUCCGCCCGGCACAGGCCAGCAUCGGUUCUCGUGGGGGGAUAAGACCGUCAGGAACGUAGCACCCUCCGGGGUGUGUUAUAGCCUGGCGGACGAUACCCCCGUGGGGACCGAGGUCCGCGCUCCGCAAGGAUGCUGGCGUAAUGGUCAUCAGUGACCCGUCUUGAAACACGGACCAAGGAGUCGUCCAUUAGAGCGAGCGUUUGGGUGUAAAACCCGCACGCGUAAUGAAAGUGAACGCAGGUGAGAGCUUCGGCGCAUCAUCGACCGAUCCUGAUGUUCUCGGAAGGAUUUGAGUAAGAGUUUUAACGGACGGACCCGAAAGACAGUGAACUAUGCUUGUAUAGGGUGAAGCCAGAGGAAACUCUGGUGGAGGCUCGCAGCGGUUCUGACGUGCAAAUCGAUCGUCAAAUAUGAGCAUGGGGGCGAAAGACUAAUCGAACUGUCUAGUAGCUGGUUACCGCCGAAGUUUCCC